AGCACCUGUUUCUUAAGCCAACUACUAUAUCCGUCCUGGUCCGUCCGCUCAUUGCUCAUUCCCGCGACUGCACCGCCAGUCGUCACAUCAUAUCAUAGUUAAAAAAUCAGUAUUUAAUAUUAAUAAAAUAUUUAAAUAUUUUAAAACAAUAUAUAACUUGACAUAAUUAGUCAUUAUAAAGGAAAAUGUUCUUAGGCGUACACAAACAUCUGCAGAAAGAAUACAAUAUCUAUAUACCAAAGCAAAACGAAACUGUCAUAUGUUAAGAAUGCGUUUGAGAGCACUACGAGAAAGACAUUUACAGAAAAAAGAAAAAAUAAAAAUAUUACAAAUUUAUUUA